AAAAGUCGUAACAAGGUUUCCGUAGGUGAACUUGCGGAAGGAUCAUUACCGAGAGUUGCAGGCUUUUGUCUGCCAUCUCUUACCCAUGUCUUUUGCGUACUACACGUUUCCUCGGCAGGUCCGCCUGCCGUUAGGACCCCAUUAAACCAUUUGCAGUUGCAGUCAGCGUCUGAAAAACUUAAUAAUUACAACUUUUAACAACGGAUCUCUUGGUUCUGGCAUCGAUGAAGAACGCAGCGAAAUGCGAUAAGUAGUGUGAAUUGCAGAAUUCAGUGAAUCAUCGAAUCUUUGAACGCACAUUGCGCCCUAUGGUAUUCCAUAGGGCAUGCCUGUUCGAGCGUCAUUUGUACCUUCAAGCUCUGCUUGGUGUUGGGUGUUUGUCCCGCCUUUGUGCGCGGACUCGCCUUAAAGCAAUUGGCAGCCGACGUCUAGGUUUCGGAGCGCAGCACAAAUCGCGCUCUGUGUCCUGGUACGGCGGCGUCCAUCAAGACUAUUUUACACUCUUGACCUCGGAUCAGGUAGGGAUACCCGCUGAACUUAAGCAUAUCAAUAAGCGGAGGAAAAGAAACCAACAGGGAUUGCCCCAGUAACG
rnacentral:rRNA from 1 species